rnacentral:tRNA from 1 species
GAGGGUAAAGCUCAAGUGGCAGAGCACAUGCUUAGCAUGCACGAGGUCCUGGGUUCAAUCCCCAGCACCUCCA